AGCAGAGAAUACUGGUUACUCUGAAAUCAGUGCCUUCCCUAGGAUGCACUUUUUUGGAACAAUCUCUCAUAGCAUCUUGCUGGAGGGUGAUGAAAACAAAUGCAAACAGAAACAGAGAGUGAUAAGUCAGAAGGAUGGCUCAUCUCUCCAGCUAGGGGAAUGGAGUGUGAGAUCACAGUGUGCCCAGACAAAAAAAGACUGAAGCCAUCAGACAGCCUCUCCGCUCCUUUCCCAUCACAUCAGGCAGAGGUGGAAGCUGCUGGCUGAAUAAUGGUGACAAAACUGGAUUCCCUGAAAAUGAUUUUUCCACAAGCCCUACGGAGAAUCACUGGAUUAUUUUGGGAAGGGAAGCUCGCCAAGUUCAAGGUGAAGGAUGAACAUCUGCAGCCACAGGUGAUUCUGAUGCACCGCCCUAUUUGUGAACCUCUGAUCUGGAACAAUGAUCCACCCACGGAAGAUAGACUCUCUACAGUUUUGGCAGGGAGUUGUCCUGCCUCUGCUCCCACAGUUCUAUGACAAGGAACUCCCUGCUGUGAAUGAGCCCACUCUCAUCUGCUUGUCUCAAGCUACUUUCUUAGGAUGUGCUAGACUCUCCACUUGCAGUGCUCACUCCAUGUCCUUUGAUUCUCACCUUCCUCUUGUGUAAUUCCUCCUGGGCCAACAGAAUCAUCUCAGCGUCUGCUACUCCUGGGCCAGGCAGAUGCCACAGACUCCAGUCCUUCCCUCCUACACUGACAAUGUCCCUAACACUGGCUUUGCAUUGUGAUGUGCAGAAGGGAGAGAAAAAGAGGAAAAGAGUGAGAAAGUCAGAAGGGUGAGAUACAUGCAGCAUUAUCUCCAGUCACGGAGAGACAAGCAUUCUGGAAACAGGGAGGGAGGGGGAAGAGGAGGAACUUACACAUGGCUUGGAUCCUACUGUUGGAAACUAACUUUCCUACUCAGGUAAUAGCAGAUAUGACAGAUGAGGUGAUGUGGCGUAUUCUUGGGACACUUGACAUGUCCUUAGAAGUAGGGGGGCUGAACAGAGAAACAGAUGGGGAAGGCUCUUUAGCAUUUCACCAACAGUUUUGAUUCUGCUCCCAGAAAGAUGAUCAUCAGUGCAUUUCCUGGGCUUUGCCUCGAGAAUUCCUUCCAUCAUGUGCUGCCUGUACCCCCUGUUUUCAUCCUUGCAAAAAAUUUCAUCCUUGGGCUCUGCAUCUAUUUGGUGGUGAGGAGGAGAGCAUGGAAAUGGGCCCCCUCUAGUAACUGAGCACUGGGUAGACAGUAGAAGUGAGUGCCAGGAUCUGUGCUGGGUUUUGGCUCCUGUGGUGCAUGAGGUCUGAUAGUACCACUCCCUUUCCCAUUCAUAGGAUGGGGCUGGGACACGAAUGGCAUAGACAAAGGUAAGAGACUCCUACUCUUGCUGCUUGACAUGUCCUGGGUCUAACUGGAUCUUCCAGGCAUUUUAGGAUUUGGACCCUGAAUAUGGUUCCCAACAUGGAAGUGAUGCAGCUAUGUCUUUUUUUUUUUUUUUUUUUUUUGAGACAGAGUCUCUCUCUGUCACCCAGGCUGGAGUGCAGUGGUGCAAUCUUGGCUCACUGCAACCUCUGCCUCCCAGGUUCAAACGAUUCUCCUGCCUCAGCCUCCCGAGUAGCUGGGACUACAGGCAUGUGCCACCACACCCAGCUAAUUUUUGUAUUUUUAGUAGAUACGGGGUUUCACCGUGUUAGCCAGGCUGGUCUAGAUCUCUUGACCUCGUGAUCCACCUGCCUUGGCCUCCCAGAGUGCUGGGAUUACAGGUGUGAGCCACCGCACCUGGCCCACACCCCCCCUUUUAUUUUGAGGCAACUAUGUCUUUUGCUUCCCACUCACUUUCCUGUAAACUACUUGCUAGUGCCCUUGUCCCCGUCACAGCUUGUGCCAGGGCUGACAAACACACUUCUUUGACUUUGCUUUCUUUUACUUUACUCUCAGUGUGUGCUAUCAAACCAGUGAGCAUGUGCGGGAAACUGGGAUGGGCGUGCCUGCAUGUGUGUGCAUGUGUGUGUGCAUGCGUGUGUGGUGUGUGCACAGUCAUCUCACAGACACUAUCGUUUGCCACACUUGUGUUGGGAGGGUGCACAGAAGUGUUUGAACCUAAGCUAAAUCACUUGAAAUGCUAUGCUUUUUGAGAUCUUCUGUUUGUCCUAAUGCAUUUUCUGCUUUUCUUCUCUGUUACUGGCUAUCCACUCUCAUUUUUGUCCACUACCCUGAUGCCUGUUUCCAGAAGUCCCUCCUCCAAGAUCACUUAUAUUUGUUACAGCUCUGCAUAACACAGGAGUAAACAGUCUUUAAGGGAGGGCAUUGACUUGUGACAGAAAUUUUGGAAUCUUGGAGGACUUUUCUUAAGUUCUGUGGAUCAGCUGAAUGCAGUCAAGUGAUGUGUGGCCAUGACCAGAUUAUAAUAAACGAAUCCUAUCAAACAACAGAUUAUGAAAAGUUCAACAGCCUGAAGAGGAGUUAUUUGUGCAACUAGUGUCUUUGACGCUUUAUAAAAGGGAUUGCUUUGGGUUCUUUUGAGCAGGAUCUUCCUUGAUGUACUUAGGAAUUCAUUUACAUAUUGUUAAUUCCUUGACACAGAAACCAGAGGCAGAAAUCCCGAAAGACAAUGUGUAUUGCAUGUUGUAUGCCACUGGCUGAGACAAGCGAGAGAAAAAGAGAGAGAAAUGACCCAAACCGGAUAUUUAACUCAAGAAGAUUCCCCAGGGUUGAUAUGUAAAUAAUUAAAGCCUAGGGUUUGCUCUCAGGAUCCCCAGGAAUAUGCAUUGUAUCCAGUCCUUUUUUCCCAGCGCUCCCUCUAUAAUCCAUAGAAUCAAAGACAUUCAUCACCCUGUCCAUCCAUUGCCUCUAAGGUUGGGUCCUCACGCUUGAAAAACUAUUGCCAGCAAAGACAUGGAACCAACCCAAAUGCCCAUCAAUGAUAGACUGGAUAAAGAAACUGUGGUACAUAUAUACCAUGGAAUACUAUGCAGCCAUAAAAAGGAAUGAGAUCAUGUCCUUUGCAGGGGCAUGGAUGAAGUUGGAAGCCAUCAUCCUCAACAAGCUGCCACAGGAACAGAAAACCAAAACACUACAUGUUCUCACUCAUAAGGGGGAGGUGAACAAUGAGAACACAUGAACACAGGGAAGGGAACAUCACACACUAGAGCCUAUCGGUGGGGGAAGGGGAGGGAGAGCAUCAUGACAAAUAGCUAAUGCAUGCAGGGCUUAAAACCUAGAUGAUGAGUUGAUAGGUGCAGCAAACCACCAUGGCACAUAUAUACCUAUGUAACAAACCUGCAUGUUCUGCACAUGUAUCCCAGAACUUAAAGUAAAAUAAAAUAAAAUAAAAUGAAAAGAA
rnacentral:lncRNA from 10 species